GAGCUUGCACAGUGGCAGUAUCAUAGCCAAUGAGGUUUAUCCAAGGCAUGAUUAUUGCUAAUAGAAAUUACAGAAAGAGCUCUCUCUCCUCCCUCUCCUCUCUUUCCUCCCCUCUUUUCUCUUCUCUUUUCUAUCCUCCUUGGUGCUGCUCUGUGGCAUCCCCACCCCCACCCCCACCCCACCCAAUAAAAACCUUUCAUACAAAAAAAAAAGAAAGAAAUUACAGAAAGAUAGAUGUAC
rnacentral:snRNA from 13 species